UGGCGGCCAUGACCUAAUUUCAAGGUUCUGGCAGCUGAAUGCAGGCAACUGACAGCCAAGCUUUUCCUACUUAGCAUAUUAAUCGCCUCCAUUUUUAGCGUGCAGCCAUGAUAAGAGGAAGCCAGUGACGGAUUCACCAGCUUUCUGAAAAUCAGGCUGAUAGAACACCCUAUGCACCUCUGUAAACCUCAGACUUUCCACACAUACAUUUUUUGCGGGCAUCUCUGUUUCCAGUUUCUGGCUCUCGUUCAGACUUCAACAUAUGCUAUAUAUAGUGGUCAUAAGAAAUGAAACAGACUGCUGUUUUCACAAGAUACAACUAAUUCCUGAAGGUAGAGAAGACAGUGUGAGGAUCGCAAGACCAUGGAUGCAGUUCUUCGAGAAAACGAGUGUGCAAGAAGUAUGUUGUAAUUGAAGUGGCGUACUGCCUGCCACCCAAGAGGUUGCUCUGUAAGUGGUGAGUUUUGAGGAAAUAAGACUUUCAUCUAUUGUAUUUUUCGUGGUGUCACAGCACU
rnacentral:lncRNA from 10 species